GUUCUGGGACAGUUCAGUCAGCAGAGCAUGAGAUUCUUAAUCUCAUGGUUGUGGGUUCGAGUCCCAUGCUGGGCA
rnacentral:tRNA from 1 species